UGUUGCCAUUUGUGGGAGCCAAUGAAGACAAUAGUUCCAUAAAUGGAGAUAGUUUAGCUAAGCAAGGAAGUAGAGUCCUUCCAUAUCACCUCGCCAGAACACAGAGAUAGGAAGGCAGGAACCCAAUCCAUUCUAUUGCUCCUGACCCUGUCAUGGCCAACACACUGUUUUGCUGUGUCUCCCUUUUCCUCCUUGGAGCAGCUCCAACUGAAGCAGGAGUCACCCAGACACCCAGAUAUCUGGUCACAAAGAUGAAACAGAAGGUAACACUGAGAUGUGAACAAAAUUUGGGUCACAAUGCCAUGUAUUGGUACCAACAGGAGCCACAGAAAGGACCCAAGAUAAUGUUUUCUUAUAAUUAUGAAGAUAUGAAUGUAAAUGAGACUGUUCCUCCCAGAUUCAAGCCUACAAAAGCCAAUAAUCACUUGAGCCUCAGCAUCCACCCUGUGGAAGCAGAAGACUCAGCCACCUACCUCUGUAGCAGCAGCAGAGACACAGCCUUGCAGAGUCAUCUCCAAGCUGUGCAGAAACCUCCUGUCCCUGGCAUAGGAAGAAAGAAGGGAGAAAAGUCACCACAUCAGAGACCUGGCUCACACUGGGGAACUUUUGGAGGGAGGAGGAACUCUCAAACCCCAAGAAUGUUUGAUAGUAGCUCUCAUUUUUCAUAUUGGUCUAAUACACAGUUGUCUGUUUAA